ACGGCAUCAUAAAAUUAGUUGAAGUAUUGGCAAAUUGAAAACAGUUUUCGACAACACCACCACUACUUCCCACUUCUGGAUCGAAAAUAACAAACAAACUCAUCAAGUAGUUCUUCAAGAUGACCGCUGGUGGCGCGCGGUUGUUAGAUCGUCGGAGCUCGAAGAAAAUCAUCUGCGACGCCGCCGCCGCCGGUGCCACCGCAGGGGCUAUAGCUGCCACUUUUGUGUGCCCAUUGGAUGUGAUCAAAACCAGAUUGCAAGUCCAUGGCCUUCCUGAAGCUCACCAUUCUGUCCAAAAGGUAGUAUCAUUAUUACAAGCCUACAGAAUAUAAUAUGAACCGAGGGUUUGAAGGGACUGUACCGUGACCUUUCACCAACAUUGGUGGCACUACUUCCAAACUGGGCAACAGUACUCAUUGCUUGCUUAUGUGCAGUCACUAUGGUUACACUACUGAGGAGUUUUUAGUUCCAACGAAGGAAUCAGCCUGUGGUUUUCUUGUGUCCGAAUCUCCAGAAAUCCCCUCUUUCUUUCUUUUGUUAAUUCUUUUAUAAGUUGAAUGCUUCUGUACUAAUGUUUUAGUUCAUAUCCACUUUAUUUGAAGUGUGCCAGGAGGCUUACUUGCAGAGCUUAAACAUAUUUCAGCUUGGUGUGUGCAUCCUAGCACUUGAAAGGAGUUUUUCUUUCAAACUUCAUCUCAUUUUCCAGCAGUGGUUCUAGUUUAGAUACUUCUGCAACAUAGAGAAGCAUACUGUACAGCCAACAGGAGAACAUUCUCCAACAAAAUUAAUUACAACUACAGAAUUCUGCAAUAGUAAUACAAACACAAGUUAUAGAUACAAGUAUUUGUUUUCAAGUCAAGCACGGAGAAACUAAAAGCAUUCACUAAUCUACUUCAAUAGGUUAGAAAGAAACUGCAUAUAACAAGAUCCAACCUCCUUGGAGUCUGGUCUUAACAACCCACAGUGGAUUUGCUGCAAUUUCUGUGACAGCACCAGCACCUGAAGCAGCAAUCAUAUUCGCACCAAAUGUAAGUUGAGAACUGUUAUUCACUGUAUUAUCACAGUAUGAAA